UACGUAGGGGGCAAGCGUUGUCCGGAAUAAUUGGGCGUAAAGAGCGCGUAGGCGGCCCUGUAAGUCCGCUGUGAAAGUCAAGGGCUCAACCCUUGGAUGCCGGUGGAUACUGCAGGGCUAGAGUCCGGAAGAGGAGUGUGGAAUUCCUGGUGUAGCGGUGAAAUGCGCAGAUAUCAGGAGGAACACCAAUGGCGAAGGCAGCACUCUGGGACGUGACUGACGCUGAGACGCGAAAGCGUGGGGAGCAAACAGG
rnacentral:rRNA from 1 species